GACGAACGCUGGCGGCGUGCUUAACACAUGCAAGUCGAACGGAAAGGCCUUUUCGUAGGUACUCGAGUGGCGGACGGGGGAGGAACACGUGGGUGAGCUUCCCUUCACUCUGGGAUAAGGCUGAGAAACUGGGUCUAAUACCGGAUAGGACCGCUCUUUAGUGUGUGUUGGUGAAAGUGUUUUCGGUGUAGUGUGAGCCCGCUGCCUAUCAGCUUGUCGUGGGUGUAAUGGCCGACCAAGUCGGCGACGGGUAGCCGGACUGUGAGGUUGGUCGACGGCACUGAGACUGAGAUAAGGCCGCGACUGCUACGCGAGGCAGAAGUGGGGAAUAUUGACGAAUGGGCGCAAGGCUGAUGAAGAGAGGCCGCGUGGCGGAUGACGGUCUUAGGGUUGUAAACCACUUUCGCAAGGGGCGAAGCGUUUUGUGACGGUACCUGGAGAAGAAGCCACGGCUAACUACGUG
rnacentral:rRNA from 1 species